GCCCAGACUCCUACGGGAGGCAGCAGUGAGGAAUAUUGGUCAAUGGCCGGAAGGCUGAACCAGCCAAGCCGCGUGAAGGACGAAGGUGCCAAGCAUUGUAAACUUCUUUUGUCAAGGGACAAAAUCAGGCUCGAGAGCCUGACCGAGGGUACUUGAAGAAAAAGCAUCGGCUAACUCCGUGCCAGCAGCCGCGGUAAUACGGAGGAUGCGAGCGUUAUCCGGAUUUAUUGGGUUUAAAGGGCGCGCAGGCGGAUUUUUAAGUCAGCGGUCAAAUCGUGGGGCUCAACCCCAUCCAGCCGUUGAAACUGGGGAUCUAGAGUGUGCGAGAGGUAUGCGGAAUGCGUGGUGUAGCGGUGAAAUGCAUAGAUAUCACGCAGAACUCCGAUUGCGAAGGCAGCAUACCGGCGCCCAACUGACGCUGAAGCACGAAAGCGUGGGUAUCGAACAGGAUUAGAUACCCUGGUA
rnacentral:rRNA from 1 species